rnacentral:lncRNA from 1 species
AUUUUAGGUGACCAACUUACAAGUACAUUUAACCGUCCAGAGAUAUCUGUGGACUGUAAUGGCUCAUUCGUUACAAUCUCGGGACCUUUAAAGGUUGCCUUAUCAUCUGAUAGGUAAAAUUGCAUUUAACCGUGCAGAGAUAUCUGUGGACUGUAAUGGCUCAUUCGUUACAAUCUCGGGACCUUUAAAGGUUGCCUUAUCAUCUGAUAGGUAAAAUUGAAAUUCCAUGUCUAAAGGUUCGGUAGUAUUUUCUUCAGCAAUGCUUUCUGGAACCCCGUUUACUAUUGAGUUGCCAG